rnacentral:tRNA from 1 species
GGACCUGUAGCUCAGCUUGGUUAGAGCGUUCGACUGAUAAUCGAAAGGCCCGGAGUUCAAAUCUCCGCAGGUCCACC